rnacentral:lncRNA from 1 species
AUGGUUUGUAUAUGCUCGGCCCAGGGAUUGGCACUAUUACAAUAUGUGGCCCUGUUGAGUAGGUGUGUCACUGUGGGUGUGGGCUUUAAGACCCUCAUCCUAGCUGCCUGGAAGCCAGUAUUCUUCUAGCAGCCUUCAGAUGAAGAUGUAGAACUCUCAGCUCCUCCUGCACCAUGCCUGCCUGGAUGCUGCCAUGUUCCUGCCUUGAUGAUAAUGGACUGAACCUCUGAACAUGUAAGCCAGCCCCAAUUAAAUGUCCUUUAUAAGA